rnacentral:rRNA from 1 species
UACAGAGGGGGCAAGCGUUGUUCGGAAUUACUGGGCGUAAAGGGCGCGUAGGGGGCCUUCUAAGUUGAACGUGAAAUCCCUGGGCUCAACCCAGGAACUGCGUCCAAGACUGGGAGGCUUGAAUCCGGGAGAGGGAUGCGGAAUUCCAGGUGUAGCGGUGAAAUGCGUAGAUAUCUGGAGGAACACCGGUGGCGAAGGCGGCAUCCUGGACCGGUAUUGACACUGAGGCGCGAAAGCCAGGGGAGCAAACGGG